GAGUACGGCCGCAAGGCUGAAACUUAAAGGAAUUGGCGGGGGAGCACUACAACGGGUGGAGCCUGCGGUUUAAUUGGACUCAACGCCGGAAAACUCACCGGGGGCGACAGCAAUAUGUAGGUCAGGUUAAAGGUCUUACCUGAAUCGCUGAGAGGAGGUGCAUGGCCGUCGUCAGUUCGUACUGUGAAGCAUCCUGUUAAGUCAGGCAACGAGCAAGACCCGUGCCCACUGUUACCAGCAUAUCCUUUAUGGAUGAUGGGGACUCUGUAGGGACCGCUGCUGCUAAAGCAGAGGAAGGUGCGGGCUACGGUAGGUCAGUAUGCCCCGAAUCUCCCGGGCUACACGCGGGCUACAAUGGUUGGGACAAUGGGUAUCUACUCCGAAAGGAGUUGGCAAUCUCUUAAACCCAAUCGUAGUUCGAAUUGAGGGCUGUAACUCGCCCUCAUGAAGCUGGAAUCCGUAGUAAUCGCGUUUCAACAUAGCGCGGUGAAUCUGUCCCUGCUCCUUGCACACACCGCCCGUCAAACCAUCCGAGUGAGGUAUGGGUGAGGGCACGAACUUAGUGUCGUGCUCGAACCUAAAUUUCGCAAGGAGGGUUAAGUCGUAACAAGGUAGCCGUAGGGGAAUCUGCGGCUGGAUCACCUCCU
rnacentral:rRNA from 1 species